GCUCCAAUGGCGCAAUGGUAGCGCGCAAGACUUCUACAAAGCACUAAUUCUAGUCUCGUUAAUCUUGAGGUUGAGGGUUCGAGCCCCUCUUGGAGUG
rnacentral:tRNA from 1 species